GUUCAAAUGAGGAAGGGCUUACGGUUGAUACCUAGGCACCCAGAGAUGAGGAAUGGCAUGGUAAGCGACGAAAUUCUUCAGGGAGUUGAAAAUGAGCAUAGAUAUGGAUAUUCCUAAAUAGGUUAACCUUUUCAACUGCUGCUUAAUCCAUGGGCAGGCAAGAGACAACUUGGUGAGCUGAAAAAUCUUAGUAGCCAUAGGAAUAGAAAGAAAAAUUGAUUCUUGUAGUAGAGGCGAGCGAAAUGGGAGCAACCUAAACCAUGAAAAUAGGGUUGUGGGAGAGAAAAAUAUAAGCUCUAUGCUUCUAGGUGAAGCGGUUGAGUCCUGCACCCUAGAUGGUGAGAGUCCAGUAGCCAAAAACAUCAUUGGGUUACACUCUAACCUGAGUAGCAUGGAGCAUGUGGAAUCCCGCGUGAAUCAGCAAGGACCACCUUGCAAAGAUAAAUACUCCUAGGUGACUGAUAGGGAAGUAGAAUCAUGAGGGAAAGGUGGAAAGAACCCCCAUCGGGGAGUGAAAUAGAACAUGAAACCGUAAUCUCCCAAGAAGUGGGAGGAAAAUGAUAUCUCUAACCACGUUCCUGUUGAAGAAUGAGCUGAUGAAUUAUAGGUAGUGUCUUGGUUAAGGGAACCCACCAGAGCUGUAGUGAGAGAGAGUCUUCAUGGGGAAAUUGUCACUACUUAUGGACCUGAACCUGGGUGAUCUAUCCAUGACCAAGAUGAAGCUUGGGUGAAACUAAGUGGAGGUCCAAACCAAAUGAUGUUGAAAAAGCAUCGGAUGAGUUGUGGUUAGGGGUGAAAUGACACUCGAACCUAGAGCUAGCUGGUUCUCCUUGAAAUGUGUUGAGGCACAAUAGUUGACUAAACCAUCUAGGGGUAAAGCACUAUUUCGGUACGGGCCAUGAGAGUGGUACCAAAUCGAGGAAAACUCUGAAUACUAGACUUUUCCUAUAAAAGGGGUAAAGGUUAGCCAGUGGGAUGAUGGGGGAUAAGCUUCAUCGUCAAGAGGGAAACAACCCAGAUCAUUAUCUAAGGCCCCUAAAUGACUACUCAGUGAUGAAGGAAGUACGAGUGCAAAGACAACGAGGAGGUUUUCCUAGAAGUAGCCAACCUUGAAAGAGUGUGUAAUAGCUCAUUGAUAGAGCACUCUUUCACUGAAGAUGAAUGUGACUAAGCAAUCUACCAAAGCUAUGGGAUGUAAAAAUACAUCAGUAGGGGAGCGUUCUUCCUUAGAGGGAAGCACCGGCAUGAGAAUGUGUGGAUGAAGUGGAAGCAAGAAUGUCAUCUUGAGUAAUGCAAACAUUGGUGAGAAUAUAAUGCCCCGAAAACCUAAGGGUUCCUCUGCAAGGUUCGUACACGAAGGGUUAGUCAGGGCCUAAGUUCAGGAUGAAAGGCAUAGUCGAUGGACAACAAGUUAAUAUUCCUGUACUACCCCUUGUUGGUCUCGAGGGAUGGAGGAGGCUAGGUUAGCUGAAAUAUGCCUAUCAGUUCAAGGACGCAAGGUGACCCUCUAUACAUUGAUUCAAAGGUAAAAGAAAAAUCAAAUAUAGGUGUGUACAAGGUGAGGUUGGGGGUGGAUAUUCCUCAUCAUCUACUCUAGCACAAAAAAUCCAAGAUGGAUUAUCCAAACAUUAUAGGAUGCACAAAAUCAUGUAGGAGCACCCAUAUCAUCAAUGAGGGUGAGUAUACCUCCUAGGAGAUAUUUUAACCA
rfam:Picea glauca, whole genome shotgun sequence.